CUCAUUGGGCCUCAGUAAACAGCAACACAUUACACAGCUCUCCGGGUUAAAGGAAGAAAGGUGCCCAUGAUAGUGUCCAGCAGCUGAAGACUGUGGUCAUGGACAGACACACGUGCACACCAUGGGCUGCCACGCUGAAGCCAUUACUAGACCAAAGAGGGGUGCUGGAAACUUCUGGAAACAGAUUGUAAACAUGAAUGGGAAGAGGGAAGGACUGUCCGCACGACUGAACACACAAUACUGUACAAGGACCCAAGUGUGUGUGAACAUUCAGUGCCAAUGCAUCUGCCCAGUGUAUCCAUUCUCACCAUCUGUUCUUCACUGCCAACAAAGCCACCAUUCUGAUCAAAGCUUUGGCUCCUGCAAACAUGCACCCCCUCCUUUCAAGUUUCUUUAUAGCCUUUGCCCUCCACUCCCUUUUUUCCAUAAUCCUACUCUAUAUUGCAUCAGAACCUACUAAUAUACAACAAUCAGUAGUGGCUGCUGUCCAGUGUUGAGUGAAUUACUUAAGAAAACAGUACUAACCAUUUAAUACGUAACCUAAUCUCUUAGAUUGCUUUAACGGUGUACUCUAUGUAAUGUAAUGUAGCUCUAAUGUAAUGCAGUGUGGCUUUAUAGACUACACUAUAUGUCCCAACAUUUGUACACACCUGCUCAUGCAACAUUUCUUCUAAAAUAAAAUUAAUAGCAUAUUUGUUUCCUCUUUGCUGUAGUAACAGCCUCUUCUCUUCUGAGAAGGCUUUAUACGAGAUGUUAGAACAUUGCUGUUAGGAUUGGAUUUCAUUCAGCCACACAAACAUUAGUGAGGUCAGGAACUGUUCUGGUGUUUUAUGGUUCUCCAUAGUGUCCCAUUCUAAUGGCAGUGCUUUUCUAUGGAGAAUAUAGAAACAGUGUCUGAAUGCCUGUCAGCAAUGCAUGUACCUUAAAGGAAAGGUUUGGCAAGAAAUCAAAUUACCUGUAAUUUUCCACUAACCCUACAAGUACUCUAUCAGUCAAGACAUGUUUGUGUCCAAAGCUUCCUUCUUUAGUUUAGUGCUGGAGCUACAAGGCCAAUGUUGCUAACAAAGACUAUAAGUCAAUGGACACCCAAACCUUGCUUUCCCCAAAACUUCUUCUAACCUUCUCAAAAAUAUAUAUGUUUUCAUUCUGAUCAUUGCAGCUUGUCAAUGUGGUUUAGAGUACAGUAUGACUUACAAAAUGUGACUUGUAAAAAUGGACAAAUCUUCAGUGAUGCUGAAUGCUGUGGGCAGCCUGUAUAGACAAGUGUUGUGCUGAAUUCAACUUCCCUUCUCGAGCAUGCGCACCAAUGAUGAUACAGACUGUUCACAAUUUCUGUUGCUUCUUUUUAUAAACAAUUGUUAAUCUUGAAUUUUAAAACUGAAGAUCUUUGUGUAUCAGAGGUGGAAAAUAAGAAAAUUACAUUUACUCUUGUUACUGUACUAAAAUUAAAUCAUAGUACUUUUA